GCCAUCCACGUGUGGCUCAGUCCGUGGUACAUGUUCCUUUCCUACUUUCUUGCGUAUGAUCCAGCAAUAGCAUCAAUGGUGGCACCCUUUUUCCAUUGCCUGAAACAUUACUUUGCGGCACGUCGUGUUCUCAUCAUCUAGAAAAAACAAUUCAAACUACAUAUUCUCUCUCUCCGAAAUUCUCUAUAAAAAUUCCAGCUUCAGAUCCAAUCUAAUCUUCAAUCAAAUUCCAUUCAUCCCAAAUUAAUCAAAUCCUCAAUUUAUCUUCCUCAAUUCACCUCCAAUUUAACCAAUUCCACACAUCACCUGGAUUUCACAUUAAACCCUAAUAAUUAAAACGCCGAAAAUCGAUUCUGAGCUUCAAUUCAGUCAACAAUGGCGCAUCAUCCAUUAAAAGCCAUAACAUUAACCCACGUUCGAUACCCAAGAGGCGACAAAAUCGGGUGUUUUCUUGCUUGGAUUUCCUUGAUUCCGGUUUUCAUCAGUUUAGGAGGUUUCGUCGCUCACUUUUUCUUCCGCCGAGAACUUCAGGGUAUGUUUUUCGCACUUGGUCUUGUCAUUUCUCAAAUUAUCAGUGAAAGUAUCAAAUCUUGCGUCCAACAAUCGCGCCCAGAAACUUGCGCAUUGCUUGAAGUAUGCGAAUCCCAUGGUUGGCCUUCAAGCCAUUCACAAUAUAUGUUCUUUUUCGCUACGUAUUUCACUCUGUUGAGCUAUCGAAAAGCCGGGUUUUUCGGGGGGAAUGAGAAUAAUUGGAUUGUGGAGACGGUUGCUUGGUUAUCUGCUGUUUUGACAAUGUUUUCUAGGGUUUAUUUGGGGUACCAUACCGUUGGGCAGGUUUGUGCCGGGGCGUUUUUCGGGACGGUUCUUGCAGGGUCAUGGUAUUGGAUUGUUAAUAAUGUGUUCAUUCAUGUUUUCCCGUUUAUUGAGGAGAGUUACAUUGGAAGGAAGUUCUAUAUUAAGGAUACUUCUCAUAUAUGCAAUGUGUUGAAGUUUGAGUAUGAUAAUGCAAGAGCGGCGAGGAAGGAUAUGGCUGAUAAAAGCAAUUGAUUCUUGUAUACCUCAUGGUAAGGGGAGAGUAUAGAGAAUGGAGAGGGCGGUGGUUAAGGUGUAUAGUAACUCUUGAGGCUCAGUUGAGGGUGCAUGCGUAGGAUAGAGCAGAGUGAACGGGGAAGAAAAGAGAAGAAGUUUGGGGCUCACUGCUGGUAAUGCUGGUUGGUAUUCAAGAGCAAAAGGAUACAGGGGUGUGGAAGUAGAUGAUGGAUUGCUUGCUCUAUACACAUCACACAUUUUCAAAUCUGGUUUUAGGACAGAAGGAUCCAUCAUACUUGAUUUGGCAAGGUGAACCGGUUGUAAGUUUUGCUCAUCCGGCAAUUUAGAUAUUAGUCAUCAGCAUACCACGCUGGAUAGUUGAAAACUUUUUAUUAUUUUUCGGUGGAUGUUGAGAAAGAUGGGAGCUUGUGUAAUUUUAUUUUAUAAAGGUAAGGUGAAAAGUUGCAUAAAGAUAACCUUCCUCACAAGAAUACCUAACUGGUGCAACAUUGGUAGUUCAUCUAUAAUUGGAUGUAUAACCAAUUGUGUCACAAUAGUUUUAAUAUCAGCCAUUGGAUUUGGCUCUUAAUACAAGUGUCGAGUGAAAGCCCUUUUUAUGUAA